rnacentral:rRNA from 1 species
AUUGAACGCUGGCGGAAUGCUUUACACAUGCAAGUCGAACGGCAGCACGGACUUCGGUCUGGUGGCGAGUGGCGAACGGGUGAGUAAUGUAUCGGAACGUGCCCAGUCGUGGGGGAUAACGUAGUGAAAAUUACGCUAAUACCGCAUACGAUCUAUGGAUGAAAGCGGGGGAUCGCAAGACCUCGCGCGAUUGGAGCGGCCGAUAUCAGAUUAGGUAGUUGGUGGGGUAAAGGCCCACCAAGCCAACGAUCUGUAGCUGGUCUGAGAGGACGACCAGCCACACUGGAACUGAGACACGGUCCAGACUCCUACGGGAGGCAGCAGUGGGGAAUUUUGGACAAUGGGCGAAAGCCUGAUCCAGCCAUUCCGCGUGCAGGAUGAAGGCCCUCGAGUUGUGAACUGCUUUUGUACAGAACGAAAAGGUUUCUACUAAUACUAGGAGCUCAUGACGGUACUGUAAGAAUAAGCACCGGCUAACUACGUGCCAGCCGCCGCUGUAA